UCCCUGAUGGUCUAGUGGUUAAGACUCUGACUCCAAUGCAGGGGGCACAGGUUUGAUCCCUGGUCAGGGAA
rnacentral:tRNA from 1 species